ACACACACUCUCUCUCUCUCUCUUUCUCUUUCUCUCUCUAAAAAUUGGUCUCCUCUCUCUGCUCAGUUUUUGCACCAAGCCUCUUUCACAAACACCCUCCGCACACCAUAUUACUCUAACUUACGCACAUCACAAAGCUCUCUCUUCAAUUACCCGCCAAAAGGUUUCUCUUCAAAUCUCUCUUUCUUCGAAGCCGUUUUGGGAAUCUUCAACGUUUAUGGAGUGAGAGACAUGGUGAAUUCAGAUAAUUUGACUGAGGACGAUGCUGGAUCUAUCGUUGGGGAGAAGAGGCCGGCGGAGAACGGAGAGGACGUUGAAUUGGGGGUUCCGUUGCCGAAGAAGGCGAGGAAUGGAGGCGGAUUGGUUGGGAAUGUGAAGAAAGUGGCGGAGAUUGUGCUGGUGUUGGCGGCGAUGGGGAAGAUGAGGGGAGGGAGGAAUCCGACGGCGGCGGAGAAGGGGAUGAUGGCUGAGGCUAGGGUUAAGUUGUCGGAGGUGUGUGAAGAGUUUUCUCCCAAGGAUGUUUUCCCUAGGGACGCAUUUGGGGCUGUUAUUGAUGAUCUUGGUCUUAGUAAGUUGAGGGAACAGAGGUUAGGGUUUCGGCCUCCCAAGAUGUCAAUUGCUGAGAAGUUGUUGAUUACCAAGCAAAAGAUGGAAAAAUCUGAAGAAUUUUCUUUGCGUUCUGCUAUGCAUUCAUCUCAGCGGUUGCAAAAGAACUCGGGUGCAGCUCCUGAAAGCCAUCGGGCAUCACACACUACUAGAAUGUUUCCAUCGGAUAAACCAAAUCAUGCACUGAUUUCUUCUGGAGGUUUCCAACCUUGUUCACCUUUAGGUGUUUCUGCUGCAAACUCUACAUCUUUACCGUAUCAGUUGCCUGCGAGUGAAGUAAGAACAUCCUCGGUUUCCAGUGGAUUACCUACCAAUCUUCCAGGAGGGGAUUCUUCAUCCUCGAUGUUGCCUAGAGUUGAAAGACCACAUUUCAGGUUGGAUCCUAGAUCAAAUGGUUCGUCGCAUACAUCGCAAAUUCAAGCAAAUUCUUCUGGAGAUCACGCACUGCUAAAAACUUCAGCUUGGUCUCUACAACCCCAAUCUGCUUCAUCAGGUAAAACUGGACCAGAUAAUAAGGUCCUGCCACAUCCUCCAGUUAAGGUGGAGGGAACUGUAAGGGCAGAGGGCACUGCCAAUUUAACCACAUCAAGAAUGGCCCCUCAGGCAACAACAUCUAAACCAUUGAUCACACAGACCACAUCUGGACAUCUGCCAACUAUGCAUCAGCAUGUGCCAGGAAUGAACUUCGUUCAAGUUCCAUUGCUUAGCAAUACCCAUAGUGAAAUUGGUAAGAUUGUUCAGAAAUUAUUACAACCACAGCUUCCUGUGCACCCCACAUGGACUCCACCUUCAAGAGAUUACAUGAAUAAGGCUUUAACUUGUCAAGUGUGCAAGCUUACCAUAAAUGAGGUGGAAAAUGUACUUGUUUGUGAUGCUUGUGAGAAGGGGUAUCACCUGAAAUGCCUGCAGUCUCACAAUCAAAAAGGAAUUCCUAGAGGUGAAUGGCACUGCUUUAAGUGUUUGUCAUUGAGCAACGGGAAACCUUUGCCUCCUAAAUAUGGACGUGUCACUAGAAAUAUAAUUGCACCAAAAAUGCUGUCCAAUACUGCAGCAGUUCAGUCAUCUCCAGAGAAGAAAGUGGGUACAUUAGGUGAGAAGGGAAAUCAGAAAAUAACAGCAAAUGGAAACUCUGGCUUACAGAGUGCUCCUGCUGGUAGCAUGGGCAAUAACCAUAAUCAUUCAGCAUCUGGUUCAAAUAUUCCAAAUGCAAGAGAAAUGCAAGGGAAUGAUAUUUUAUCAAGUAGAGAAAAAUUGGAUAACAAGCGUCCCUUUGAAACUUGUCCAAAUGAUGAAAUCAGAACCUCGGGGCAUGCUUGUGUUUCUUCUACUGCUGUCUCAUUAGUUGAAAGAUCAUGUGAAGAGAAACUGGUUUCUGAAUCAAAAGCAGAGUCUCCUGCAACACCAUCUGAGACAAUUACCAAGAUGUUGGAUCACAUGCAAACAUCUAGCAACCCCCAAAAUAAUGACCAAAAAGGGCUUUCAAACAAUGCGGGAAUUCCAUCAAAGCAAUGCAACAACAACAACCUUACGGUUAAAGAUUCAGAGAGAUCUGAUAGUUGCAAAACUUUUGAUGGCAAUCCGAAUGACAACAUUAUACAAGAGGAGCAAGGAGUUGCACUACCCGAGUCUGUUGAAACUUCUGGGACUGGCAUUCUGGCUAGCGAGCAGGCUAGUUCUUCAUCAGAUGGCUCAAAUGAUGUUGAUUGGAUUGGUGAUGUCCUUCAAGUUGUCGAUGAAAAGACAUAUUAUCCAUCUUGUUGCAUCAAUGGAGUCUUGUAUAAAGUGCAGGAUCAUGCUCUUUUUCAAUUUAGCAAUGACAAACCAAUGCCUUCUAAGCUUCAGGCCAUGUGGGAGGAUAACAAAACUAGGUCAAAGUGGGUUAUUGUCAAUCGAUGCUACUUCCCUUGUGACUUGCCAGAGACAGUUGGACACCCGUGUUCCCCUGAAACCAAUGAGGUUUAUGAGUCUAAUCAUGGUAGCGCCAUGAUGGCCGGCUUGAUUCGAGGGCCAUGUGAAGUUCUUCCUCCAGGCAAGUUUAUUGAAGAAAGUGAGAGGAGAUCCCGUUUGGGGAGUGCGGCAAAUGAUGGAUUAUGGCCACUUUUCCUGUGCAAAUGGAUUUAUGAUGAAUCAAAAGGUGUAUUCAGAGAUGUUUCAUGUUAGUUGCAGUCAGAAAUAUAUUUUUAGUUUUCAUAGUCUUAUUUGGGCUCUCCUUGCAGCAAGCCAACAGAUAUCCCUUUGAUCAGUAAUCCCAAGAUUGCAUGGUUUUACCAUUGAUCCACUUCACCUCAAUCCUAUAUUUUGCUGUAUGCACAACAAGAGGGGUAACCUGUUUCAGGGGGGCCGUACAGACGAUUAGUGAAGCUUCCAUUACUUUUUUAUUGUACAAUAUGUAGCUUUAGCCGUAGGCUGUAUCAUCUUCCCGAUAGUAAUUCAAAUUGCAACCCUUUUUUCUAAUUCUGGUAGAAAUUGCAACAUUUUCAUCAUUUUUUGGUCAGCUUAUAUUACAUUGCCAACAAGUGGGACAGGC